ensembl:snoRNA
UGGGUAUGCUCAGAGCAGGUGGCCUGAAGAAUGGCUUCUCUGUUUACAGCACACUGAACAGGAAUUUAGGGUCACUGUGACAAGGAGCACAAGAGGACUUCUUUUUGAGCAGAUGUCCCACACAU